rnacentral:tRNA from 1 species
GCGUUUGUGGUUUAGUGGUAAAAUCCAUCGUUGCCAUGAGACUGUUUCUGAGCGAUCAGAGUACAGUUCCAGUAUCGAUGGGCCCCGGGUUCGAUUCCCGGCGAACGCA